UUGAUCCCUGGCUCAGGACGAACGCGGGCGGCGUGCCUAAUACAUGCAAGUCGAGCGAAUCUUUAGGAGCUUGCUCCUGAAGGUUAGCGGCGGACGGGUGAGUAACACGUGGGCAACCUGCCUGUAAGACUGGGAUAACUUCGGGAAACCGGAGCUAAUACCGGAUAAUCCUUUUCCUCUCAUGAGGAAAAGCUGAAAGUCGGUUUACGCUGACACUUACAGAUGGGCCCGCGGCGCAUUAGCUAGUUGGUGAGGUAACGGCUCACCAAGGCGACGAUGCGUAGCCGACCUGAGAGGGUGAUCGGCCACACUGGGACUGAGACACGGCCCAGACUCCUACGGGAGGCAGCAGUAGGGAAUCUUCCGCAAUGGACGAAAGUCUGACGGAGCAACGCCGCGUGAGCGAUGAAGGCCUUCGGGUCGUAAAGCUCUGUUGUUAGGGAAGAACAAGUACCGGAGUAACUGCCGGUACCUUGACGGUACCUAACCAGAAAGCCACGGCUAA
rnacentral:rRNA from 1 species